rnacentral:tmRNA from 1 species
CCCCUUGAAACGCGGGCACCUGCCCGCUAUCUAUGAUCUGUCCUUCGGGACUAUGAACAUAAACGCGCUCGUAAUAAUCGGAUCGGACCCGGGGGCGGUACCCGGCGACUCCACCAAUAUCCUUCAUUUGGGGAUCAUGGGGUCGAAACAGGAUCGACGAACGCCUAAAGGGGUUAGCUUUGUUUCGGCUGUCUGCCACCGUUAUCGGCGAAACUUGUACAAUUGCAAAUGACAAUCGUGCUCCAAUGGCGAUGGCCGCGUAAGCGACCGGAACUAUUGAAAUCUAAGUCCUAGAGCUUUGCAGCCCUAGGCGGGGUUCGCAGGUACCUGGCAACAGAAACCUGCACU